rnacentral:misc_RNA from 1 species
GAUGAAGAACUCAGCGAAAUGCGAUAAGUAAUGUGAAUUGCAGAAUUCAGUGAAUCAUCGAAUCUUUGAACGCACCUUGCGCCCUUUGGCCAUUCCGAAGGGCAUGCCUGUUUGAGUAUCAUGAACACCUCAACUCUUCAUGGUUUUCCGUGAUGAGCUUGGACUUUGGGGGUCUUGCUGGCCUAUGGUCAGCUCCUCUAAAAUAAAUCAGCUUGCCAGUGUUUGGUGGGUAUCACAGGUGUGAUAACUAUCUACGCUUGUGGUUUUCCACCAGGUAACCUUCAGCAGUGGAGGUUCGCUGGAGCUCACAGAUGUGUCUCUCCUCAGUGAGGACAGCUCUUUGAAUGUUUGAUCUCAAAUCAGGUAGGACUACCCGCUGAACUUAAGCAUAUCAAUAAGCGGAGGA